rnacentral:rRNA from 1 species
GAUGAACGCUGGCGGCGUGCCUAAUACAUGCAAGUCGAGCGAACGGACGAGAAGCUUGCUUCUCUGAUGUUAGCGGCGGACGGGGGAGUAACCCGUGGAGAAACUACCUAUAAGACUGGGAUAAAUUCGGGAAACAGGAGCUAAUACCGGUUAAAAUUUUGAACCGCAUGGUUCAAAAGCGAAAGACGGUCUUGAUGUCACUUAUAGAUGGAUCCGCGCUGCAUUAGCUAGUUGGUAAGGUAACGGCUUAGCCAGGCAACGAUGCAUACCGGCCCUGAGAGGGUGAACGGACACACGGGCAGUGAGACACGGCCGCGACUCCUACGGGAGGCAGCAGUAGGAAAUCUUCCGCAAUGGGCGAAAGCCUGACGUAGCAACGUCGCGUGAGUGAUGAUGGUCUUAGGAUCGUAAAACUCUGUUAUUAGGGAAUAACAUAUGCGUAAGUAGCUGUGCACAUCUUGACGGUACCUAAUCAGAAAGCCACGGCUAACUACGUG